rnacentral:lncRNA from 8 species
GUCACACUGUUAACUUCUUUUGCCCUCGUCUUUUUAACGCAACCUUCCUUCCCUAAUUCUAAUUCCUCCUUCCUUCCUCCCUCCCAGACUCUCUCUGGUCAUCAGAGGUCAGUACGCAAUCUGUCCUUCUCUCCGACCUCCUCUCUGCUGUGCACUGGCUGUCUGGAGAGGUGAGGCUGUGGUCAGUUCCAGCCUCUAUCUCCAUGGGCCGCUACCAGGCUCACAGCAGAUCUACAGAGGUGCUCACUUUCCUGCGAGGUGCUCACUUUCCUGCUGGAAGGGACCAAACUCCUGAGUGCUGGCUCAGACUACACGGUGUCCGUUGUUCAGAAGGGAAAGAAGAUGUCAACCAUGGAGCCCGCUUCUCUGUGUGGCUUUCACUGGGGGUUAUGCAGCAGUGGGUUACCAUGGUGAUGGGUUGAAACCCUUGAGUCUUAAAUCAGGUUAGGACGUGGGCUAGCAAGGAUCAGCGGGUGUCCAUCCUCUACCUGAUUUGGCUGGCUGCAGAGGAGCCCAAGCUACUGACUGGUAUCUCGGGGCAGGGAUCAACGGCUAAGGGUGUGGAGGAUACAGGAGGGAGAGGCAAGCAUGGUGCUGCUGGGACGUUUUAGGGUGCAACAAGGCCCCAUCCUGGCACUGGCAAAAAACUAUUCUUAUCUGGCCUCUGCCUCAGGUCAGACUAGUUGAAGAUCAACAACUAAAACCCUCAUUAAAUACUAAUUUAAUCAAUAGUUAACCCAUGAACCACAUAUUCCCCUUGGAAUCUCCACACACCACCAACAGGACACAUAAUAACAGUGCAGUUAAUAAAUCAUUCAUAUAACAACUUGUUUACAGAUGAUUCACAAGAUGUAUCAAAAUGUGUAUGUGAGUGUCAUUGUACUGCAGUGCAGCCACCUUUUCCCCCACUAGACUCAUCCAUUUCUAGCUCAAUGUCACCACAUGAUUACAGCAGGUCAGUAUUUGGGCCCAUGGCAUACUAGGGAAGGCAAAUUGGAUCAUUCUUUUGCAGUGAGAGGCAGUGCCUUAGACCCCUGCGCCACUUGGGAGCCCUAAAUAUAGGCUUUUUAUGCGUUAAUAACCACACCAACCUGCAUUGCUCUGCACUCUCCCCUACACGUAGCCAUAUCGAUUCACUAAAUAGAGAAUACGUUUUACGAUCUGAAUUCUUUAUUCAAUAGAUAUGAUUACCCUAAAUGUACUAAUUUUGAAGGGCUGUUGCACUCUCAUAUUUACGGUAAUAUUUACUUACGUCACGUGUGCAUUUGCGCACGCGUCUCCCACUUGAAACAUUUUUGCAGUUUAUUAACAUCUACGGAUUCUUUAUUGAACAUUAAAAUACUAUUUACUUCACACAGAGAAUACAUAUC